rnacentral:lncRNA from 1 species
UGGGAACGACGUGUAACGAAAUGGGUAUUUUAAGAUAUUAAUUGCAUGUGUAUUCCUCACAAAGACACUCAUUUCUGAACAUAACGCAAAUACUGUGACAGCUCAAGAAAUGAAGAAUAUUGCAGCGUUCGACAUAUUUGUAAUUUUUCUUAUUUUAUCGAUGGAUACAUUGUGUUUGCGAGGCAAAUCCAGGAUCUUAAUUAGAGUACUUGUUGUCGCCUGUCAAAUUCGAAGAGAAUAUGAGUCAUGUCCGAUGUCGCAGUAACAGGCAGCUGUUCAAACCCAAUCCUUCGCCUAUGGCAAAUGCUCGUAAGCAUCAGAUCGGAUCCAGUCCACCACCCAUUAUGAAAUAAUAAGUUUUGAUUUUGCGUGCUUUUUAGUUUCAAAAUUUUCAAAAAUUGUUAAAAUUUGUACGUUUGAAACAAAUGGUCAGAUGAUUUGAUAAGUCCCACGGCAAAUUUGUUGUUCUCCCAGUAUGUAUGGAUAUUAUUCGGGUGCCGGUAAUUAUUAUGCGCAGUUGAUCAUUCAUUUAUUUUAUGAAUAAAUAUUUUUGUUUGGAUUUUUCCUUCGAA